rnacentral:rRNA from 1 species
GUAGUCUCGCACAGAUGCAUAUCAAUAAGCGGAGGAAAAGAAACUAACAAGGAUUCCCCUAGUAACGGCGAGUGAAGCGGGAAGAGCUCAAAUUUGAAAUCUUAAAGGGUUUCCCUUUACGAAUUGUAGUUUAAAGAAGUGUUUUCUGUUGAGGUUUUGGUAAAAGUUCUUUGGAAUAGGACAUCAUAGAGGGUGAGAAUCCCGUAUUUGACCUUUACUUUCAACUUUGUGAUACACUUUCAAAGAGUCGGAUUGUUUGGGAAUGCAGUCCAAAAUGGGUGGUAAAUUUCAUCUAAAGCUAAAUAUUGGCGAGAGACCGAUAGCGAACAAGUACCGUGAGGGAAAGAUGAAAAGAACUUUGAAAAGAGAGCUAAACAGUACGUGAAAUUGUCAAAAGGGAAGCGUUUGACACCAGUGUUGUUUUUCUGAAAAUCAAUUAAAGAACUGUUUAUGCUAAGCUGUUUAGACUUUAUCAGCUAUCUGUUUAGUUUUGAGCUUUUCUUUAAUGCACUUUUCAGUUAACAAGUCAACAUCAAUUUCUUUUGCUGUAAAAAAGCUUGAGGAAGGUGGCUUGAGAUUCGUCUUAAGUGUUUAUAGCCUCUUGCCUAUGCAGUCGGAGAGAUUGAGGUCUGCAGCGUAGAUCCUUCGGGGCUAAAUGCAUUUGUGCUAAGUUAUAGCAUUUUAUAGACAACUUGUUGACUAUGAUUUGUCUUGUAGCUUACUCACUUAUGUUCAUUUUACCUACGCUUAGGAUGUUGACGCAUGAGAUAUACGC